GUUGUGCCUGAAUGUUUGGUCAGGACGUGUCGUUUUAUUAAUUUGUUCGUUAUGAGAGACUCAUUACUACGCACUUCGCCACACAAAACACAUUGUGGGGACAACUUGUUAUUUCUCAAAGUUUGUAUGAAAGAGACAAAAAGUCAUCACUGUAUUUGCGUUUCAUGACGAUUGAGCUCAGUCAGAACUUGUGGCUAACAUGAGUCUAUUUCAUGACAGCGGUCAGUGAUGGCGAGUGGGAAUAACAAGUCAGUGACUUGAACGACAGCGCUGCAGCGUGUGGGUCGCGGAGUGAUCUUCAAGAAAACUGCAGAAAAAAAGAUCCGGUAAACCGUGAAGCACACGGGCAUCUACCUCUCGCGCAGCUGCCAAACUGAGCAGAGACCGCUGCUAAGCAGAGAGCGCACUGAACCGACAGCGCAGUUGCACUUGGCCAAAUCAAUUCCGAACCCUCCCUUCAUCAUCCAGGCCUUCCGCUUCAGGGUGUCAGAGUCCACCGUGUCCCACGUCUGAAGCACCUGGAUGGAGCUGCUGCAGAGACGGAUGAGACAGGGAGAGGGUUGAAAAGGGAGUAUGCGGAGGGGAGAGUAGGGAGGGUAACCUCUUGGUGGAAGGAGGGGGACAUAGAGAGUUAGAGGUGUGGAGAGAGUGGGAGACAGAGUGAGACCAAAAAUAAAUACAAAAUACAAAGAAAGUUUGAAUGAAACCUAGGUAACAUCAGAUUACAUACUGCUACAGAUUACAUACUGUAGCAUGAACUUGACUCUUAUCAGUAAAUAGUCAUUAGAAUGUCGGUAGAAUUAUGAGAUAAUGCUGGUUUUAGGUUGUAUUUUGUAGUCCACCAAAACAAAGCCAUUGUUUUGACUACUCAGGAUCUCAGACUUAACGAACCACGUGAUUGUUAGAAAUAACUGUUAUCGGUAGGAGUUUUAUAUUUCCUUUGCUUUUCACCUAUACUGUUAUUGUGACCUAUAAGCCUUGAGCACCCUCGUUCCCUCUCCCUACCAGAUCCCCAGCCGGCGUUACAUCACUUCUUUCCAGCCCCGCCAAGCCAACGGCCGCCAGCUCUAGUUCCUCGAGUGUGCCGACACCCUCUCCGACGUCCACUCCAGCCGCCGCAAGCGAGGGGACACACCCAACCCCUCCUACCAGGCCCUACCACUACCUCUGCAGCGAACGCGUUUGCUGUCUGAUGGACAAGGGGAUAGCGUUCCGUUACCUGAGGGCGGUGCACCCUAUCCGGAUCAGGGGUGCAGCUAGACAGGGCCUGGGAGGUGUGCUGCUGCCUGCCUGCCUUCUUCACCGCCCUCAGGGAAUCAAAUAGGUCCAGGACCAAGGGCAUCUGUUACAACUAUCUCUGCGAGCAGGCCCAGACCAACUACCUCCACGAGGAGGCCCAAGCUAACCACCUACAUGUGAGGAGGCACAGACUUCAACUAAAAGUUGCGUGGGCCUCCUGAAAGAUGUUUGAGUUAUUUUUAUUGUUUAUCUUUUCUGAAUUGUGUACAAUGAAUUGUUUAUUACUACUGUUAAGACAAAAUAGAAUUGACUUAUUAACAAGAACCUUGUUCCAAAGUUCAUAAUAAAACAUUUUGGGGGACAAAGACAA